CUUUCUUUUAUUUCUUUCAAAAUCAUCAAAUCUAUUUAAUUUACAACAAAUAUUAAAAUACAUUACUUUUUGUCUUGUAAAAAUCAUCUAAUGAACAAGUACAUAAUUUACAACUAAAAUACAUAAAAUCAAUUAUAAAUUUCAUAAUUUAUAUAAUUAUCAGCAGUUUAUUUUGAUAUGACUUUAGACACAUGUCAUGUGACUUUGAUAGAACCUGUAUUCUAUAAACUGUUUGUUCAGAAAUUAUUGCCAAAAAAUUGACAGGGUCAUAAUCGCAUUAAUUUAAACUCGCAUUUUUUAUUAUUUUUGUAGGAAUUGAACAGGAUUAAAUUUUCCUCGAUAUCGCAAAAAAUAAAAUCGAAUUUUUGGACCAAAAUGACAAAAUUGCAAUAAUGAAUACACGCAAUAUUUCUAAAUUUACAGUAGUUCAAUUUUUGAAAGCUUGAAUUUGACAAGAUUUAUUCCCUCAUGGAAAGCUGACCUGUUUCUCUGUCAUGGCGAAAAAUUAUAAAUCAUGCUUUCAGAGAAAAAACAAGAAUGUGUCCAAAGUACACGGAUGCCCCACUCCCACUAUCAUUUUCCAUGUUCAAUGGACCGUGAAAUUGGAUAUAAAAAAUAUAAUUAGGCAUUAAAAUUAGAAAGAUAAUAUCAUAGGGAACAUUUGUACCAAGUUUCAAGUUGAUUGGACUUCAACUUCAUCAAAAACUACCUUGACCAAAAACUUUAACCUGAAACAUGCACUUUCAUUUUCUAUGUUCAGUGGACCGUGAAAUUGGGGUCAAAAGUUUAAUUUGGCUUUAAAUUAGAAAAUGAUAUUCAUAAGGAACAUGUUACUAAGUUUCAAGUUGAUUGGACUUCAACUUCAUCAAAAACUACCUUGACCAAAAACUUUAACCUGAAGCUGGACAGACGGACGAACGAACGAACAGACGGACGGACGAACGAACGAACGGACGCACAGACCAGAAAACAUAAUGCCCCUCUACUAUCGUAGGUGGGACAUAAAAAGGUUUUAUUUUAACAUUCGAACAAAAACAGAGGUGUAUCCUCAAAACAUGCAUGUCCAAUAUGAAAUAGACAUUUUUAAUUUUAAUUUUAAAUUCAGGAUUUUGUAAAGUAACAAAUAAAAUAUCAUCCACAUUAUAACAUAGCUUUUAAUAUUUCAUAAAUAAAUGCAUCAUACUUUUUACAAAUUAGCCAACUGUGCAAGGACGGUAUAGCCAGUCAAAGUCGUUAAAAACUUCCAUCUUCUAACAAAUUUAAUAAAAUAAAUACACUUUUUUUAACUUAAGAACAUGUAUUGUGCAUAUAUUAAGGCUAGGGUUUAUACACCGGGUCAAUGGUUUUGUGUUUACGUGUAUAUAUAUAUAUAUAGGUUUAACUAAUUUUAUUGAUAAUUAACUUAUGGCACUAUAUUACUUUUCUAUUUUUUUUAACAUAAGUGAAACUUGGGGAGGGUUUAUGAAUGUUAAGUGAUGUUUUAGUUAAUUGCUUAAAAAAAAAAAGUGAGAACAAAAGUGUUUUUCAUAUAUAUGUCAAUUGAAAAGUGUGUUUACCCAUGUAGCUUUUUUCAAAAAAAAUAAUCCUGACAGAAGUCCCUCAUGUAAAAAUGACACAGUGAAAACAUUGAAAAAAAUAUAUGUUUCUAAAUUAUCCAAAAUUUGAGUUAAGUGGGGGCUUGAGUUUUUACUUUCUAAUUACAUUUUUGUAUUAUUUUUGAAGUUUUUUUUGGGGUGGGGAGGUAGCUAGGUAUAUUUUGCUCCUUAUAUUUAUUCUGAGAAUCCACGUUCAUGUAUAAUAAAAACAUGAAAGUUCUAAACAAAAAAAGUGUGCAAGCUAGCAACUAUUCAAAUUUUAUAACUUUUUUCUAGAUUUUUUUCGAAGUCAACAGCUGCAAUAUUAAAGUUGUAUUCAUAAUUCCUACAAGGAAAUGAUUUUAUUUGGGGGUAAAAAAUUUACAAUUACAUAAAUACUUUCACAUGUUUUAGAAGCCAAAAAACCGAAUGUAAAAUAUUUUUUUAUAUUA
rnacentral:lncRNA from 1 species